CAAUCUGUAUCUGAUUAACUUGUAUGUAAACGUUUUGUUUUUGUUUUGUAUUGUGAGCUUCAAGCUUUGUGUGUUUUCUGUACCACAGUCAGGGCUGUUUUCCUGUUGUGAUGGGAGGGUUGUUGGGUGUAGACGUCUUUCACACGUGAUUUUAAGCACUUUCCAAAGAGUAACUUACAUUAUCUCUUACAUUAUCUCUUACAUUAUCUAUGACAGUAAUAAUUUACAGUAAUAAUUUGGACCUUUAUUUUUUGUUGUUCAGUUGAACUUUGAUACAAACACAACUACUAUACUAUGAUCAGGUGUGGAGCCUGACUUCCUGCUCUAUACUAUGAUCAGGUGUGGAGCCUGACUUCCUGCUCUAUACUAUGAUCAGGUGUGGGGCCUGACUUCCUGCUCUAUACUAUGAUCAGGUGUGGGGCCUGACUUCCUGCUCUAUACUAUGAUCAGGUAUGGGGCCUGACUUCCUGCACUUCCUGAGGAUGAUGUCAUACUUUCACUUUCAGCUGCUUGUCUCCCCUCUGGCAGGACCAGUCCAAAUAUAACAUGAAGGAUCCAUUGGCCUAGUGUGAGACCAUGAAAACCGUGAGGUAUCAUGGGUAAAUUGUGACUGACUGAUGUACAAAUAAUAUUAAGUAGUUAUUUAUGAUGCAAGGUGGUUUGUAGAUCAGUCAAGUCUCGUCUUUAAAUUCGGCGGCCAUGUCUAACGGUCCCAUUUUGUUUUUCUGGGCGGGAACAUACAUAGACCAUGUUACAUACAUGAUAUAUACACAUAGACCAUGUAUGAUUUAGUUGUAUUACCAUAGUGAUGAGACUUUUCUCCUGUAACUUUCACAGGAGUGUUUAUUUAUGAAUCCUUUUGUAUCAAAGAAAUACAUUGGAACAACCAAAACAACUGAGCCGCCCCAAAUAUAAAAGGAACAUUGUUAAUAUGAUUUGUUGAUAUGUUUUCAUUAAUUACUAAAGCAAUACUCUUUUAUAAGGUCAUUGUUAUUAUAUUGACAUCACAAAUGCAGAAUGUGUGGAUUAAGACGUGUUUUCUAAUUCUUUCAUCAACACACAUACGCAUUACUUUUUGUAAAUAAAUGUAUGGAGCUGUUCUGUUUCUCUGUAUAGUUGUACAGAGUAAAUGUGAUACAGCCUGGGAUUGAACCCGGGUCUGUAGUGACGUCUCUAGCACUGAGAGGCAGUACCAUAGAACGCUAUGUCACCCAGGAGGCUAUAGUGGACUACUCCUGACCGUGAUCCAUAGUCCACUGUUAGGAUAGAAGAUAGAAGAGCUGUGUCACAUGUCAAGGUGUCUGUAUUCUUCUGACUGGGUUUUGAAACUGUCACAAUAUCACCCCCCCAAAAAAAUGGAACUUUUGUAUAUUGUGAAUGAACUGGCUUUAGGGAGAAGGGUUCCGACAUCAUUCCACAACAGAAUGGUUCUAAUUUAGAAUGAUUCCUUUACAUUCCUUCCUAAAGAGCACGUAAAACAAACACAGCACUUGAUGACAGUUUACAGUUGACUAGCUUUAGGCUUUAGGUUGAGGAUGAUUCAACAAAUGUCUUGUUUUACCAGACUGUUAAAAGUAAGUAGAAAACCCCUGCCUGUUUACUGCCAAGGAAAAGUACUGUGAUAUUAUAUAUGAACGUCAUUUCACUCAUCAUUACAACCAGACGUAUAGCUCUCUAUUCAUCCUGGAUGGCUGAAACGUUACAGACUGUGCGGUAGAAAUGUAAAGGUAAUUUCAGAUGGAGACGACAUCUGCAGUGUUUACGGUAAAUGCAGUCUCCGCUAUAACGCGGGAACAUUGCCCUUAAAUUUAAAUCAAGCCGUACCGUUGUACUUCAGUGAUACGGAUUGCAUAGAGCGCUUCAAUAAUGACUUUGUCUGAUAAAUAUUUGAAUACUAAUCAUAAAAUACCCACUAGUUUCUAAAUGAUACGGUGGUGUUUCACAGCUUUACAGUUGGAAUUAAAGUUGAGACCCAGCAGGCAUAAUUUGGCGUGGGUACGUCAGAAAAGGAGAUCAGUUUAAAAUAUUUUCUAUCAAUUUUUCUAUCUACUAUUUACCCUUUUGGAAGAAAUAUGAAUUGAUUUUGUUUUAAAUCUCUCCUUGUUAUGCUUGAUGUCACAGUAUGAGUGAAAGCUUUGUGUAUAAAAGGUGUACUUUGGUAUGUGGCCAUUACAUAACUCUGUACCAGGGGUCUCCAACCCUGUAGGUUUACACUCCAACCCUGUUCCUGGAGAGAUAUUGUCCUGUAGGUUUUAACUCCACCUCCAGGACAGUAUCUCUCCAGGAACAGGGUUGGAGGGCCCUGUAUGUAACUACUAUACACAUUGACCAUGAUAUCACCAUAUCAUCACUAUAGAUAUCAAUAUGUUGUUGUUUACACCGUUGAAGCACUGUUAUGUCUUUUGAAUAUAUAAUAUGUAUCAUUUUUACCACAGUUUAAUACUAAUUUGUAAGAUUUUGUUUUCAUGGAAUCUGCCUGACUGGAUCUACAGAUUGUUUUAAAUUCUGAAUAAACCACCAGAA
ensembl:lncRNA